rnacentral:rRNA from 1 species
GAUGAACGCUGGCGGCGUGCCUAAUACAUGCAAGUCGAGCGAACAGACGAGGAGCUUGCUCCUCUGACGUUAGCGGCGGACGGGUGAGUAACACGUGGAUAACCUACCUAUAAGACUGGGAUAACUUCGGGAAACCGGAGCUAAUACCGGAUAAUAUAUUGAACCGCAUGGUUCAAUAGUGAAAGACGGUUUUGCUGUCACUUAUAGAUGGAUCCGCGCCGCAUUAGCUAGUUGGUAAGGUAACGGCUUACCAAGGCAACGAUGCGUAGCCGACCUGAGAGGGGGAUAGGCCACACGGGAACGGAGACACGGUCCAGACUCCUACGGGAGGCAGCAGUAGGGAAUCUGCCGCAAUGGGCGAAAGCCUGACGGAGCAACGCGGCGUGAGUGAUGAAGGUCUUCGGAUCGUAAAACUCUGUUAUUAGGGAAGAACAAAUGUGUAAGUAACUAUGCACGGCUUGACGGUACCUAAUCAGAAAGCCACGGCUAACUACGUG